UACAGAGGUCCCGAGCGUUGUUCGGAUUCAUUGGGCGUAAAGGGUGCGUAGGCGGCGGGGCAAGUCUGAUGUGAAAUCCCGGGGCUCAACCCCCGGAAUUGCACCUCAAACUACAUGGCUAGAGCAUUGGAGAGGGAAGCGGAAUUCACGGUGUAGCAGUGAAAUGCGUAGAUAUCGUGAGGAACACCAGAGGCGAAGGCGGCUUCCUGGACAAUUGCUGACGCUCAGGCACGAAAGCGUGGGGGAGCAAAAGGG
rnacentral:rRNA from 1 species